rnacentral:rRNA from 1 species
GACGGAGGAUGCAAGCGUUAUCCGGAAUUACUGGGCGUAAAGAGUUCGUAGGCGGUCUGUCGCGUCUGCUGUGAAAACUCAGGGCUUAACCCUGAGCUUGCAGUGGGUACGGGCAGACUAGAGUGCGGUAGGGGAGACUGGAAUUCCUGGUGUAGCGGUGAAAUGCGCAGAUAUCAGGAGGAACACCGGUGGCGAAGGCGGGUCUCUGGGCCGUAACUGACGCUGAGGAGCGAAAGCAUGGGGAGCGAACAGG